rnacentral:lncRNA from 1 species
CGGAAACCCUCAGCGAGCGCCUGCCAGGAAGCUGUCACUGGAGGGGAUUUUCCAUUGGUGUCAGCAGGAGCAGCAUGGGCUGGGGGGGGAUUUGCAGGGCCGGGGGGAGGGGGGGGGUCCGGGUGCGUGUGAGAGAACAGUGCAAGUGUGAGAGCGUGUGAGGGAUGGGGGCAGAAGGGGGGACACAUAGGACGGGUACCCCCAUGGUGCGUGUGCAAGGGGGGAGAGCCCCCUCUGUGUGUGUGUGUGUGUGUGUGUGCAAGAGUGAUGUGCUGUGCAGCCCCGUGUCUGUGAGUGCACUGUGGGGGGGGGACGACACGACAUCCCCAGAGCCCCCCUCGGGUGUGCGUGCAAAGCCCCCAUCACAUCGGGCGUGGGGCAGCCGUGACCCCCAGCGCACACAGCGCGUGUCCCUCUUUGGGGAGAAGGGGUGGAUUUGGGGCCGGCGCAGCCCACCCCGCCGGGGAUGUGGGGCCGCCGCGUCCCCAUCUGUGUGGCGGUCCCCUCCCGUCUCCCGGUGGCAUCUCCGGCCCCACCCCGACAUCUGGGUGGCCUCAGAGCCGGGCAGCAGCCCACGUCCGCGUCCUGCGGGGCCGCAGCGCUGCCAACGGAGCCCUUCUGGGAGGGUCCGGGCGCCGGCAGCCCCGGCGGGGGGCGGUGGUGGUGGUGGGGAUGGGGCGGGGGGGGGGGAAGGGGGGCGGGAGGGACGCAGCGCCCCCCGGUGCCACCCCUCCCACCCCGCGGCAGUGCCACCCUGCGCGCAGGCUGAGCCGAGCCCGAAACCGUUAAACUAAUUAAAGCUUUGCAGCAGCGGGAUUAAGGCCGGGCAGGGGAGGUGGCAGCCCAGGUAGUCGAUUAGUUCACCAGGCGCGGAUAUUGGAUUUCUGCGCGGCGAGUCAGCAGUCUUCGGGGGCUGUUAUCUUUGCGAGGCUCCAGGGGUCAGGAGGUGGAUGCAGGGGUGGCUGUGAGUCCCGUCCCCCCCCGCUCUCCAUCCCCCCCCCCCCCUUCCCUUCACCCGCCGCAGCGCCGCUCCCAUCCAUCUCUCUCCCUCCAUCCCUCCUCUCUUGUGUGGUCUCGGAUGGUGUUUUGUAACCAGCAAAAGGAAAAAAAAAAAAAAAGGAAAAAAAAAAGAGAGAGAAGGAAAGCGGCCCUACCCCUGGCUAGCAACCCAGGAAUGGCGAAGUCCAGAGCGCCUAAUGCGAAACAUGUGGCCGCUGCCUGGGGCUGAGCAGAGGAGGUGAAAGUGAGCGCGGCGGCGCGGCGAGCAUCCCGGCCCGGUGCUGCUGGGGGCUGCCGGGAGCUGCCCGGCCCCACGGCUCGGGGUGGGGGGCUGCAGGUGG